rnacentral:lncRNA from 10 species
CUGAGCAGCUGUAAAAUUUAAACCUUGAACCUGACCUGAAAUAAGAGCUGUACUUCAUGAAUUCCAUAAACCUAGAUAAAAUCUAGCAUGGAAGGGUUUAGAAUUCUUUUGAAUGCAUAUGACCCAAGGAUACCCUUCCUAUUUCAACUUAUACCCAUAUUUGGUUGGAACCUCAAAUACUAAAUCCUGGGUGAGCUGGGACUUCUAUUCUCCAUAAAGCUUUGUCACUCUGCUGCCUGCCUUUGAGCCUCUGUUAAAGAAACAUCUGUAUCCAUCAGAAUUUGAUCAGAGAAGCAGCACAACUACAAAUGAUGAAGCAGGAGAGGUUUACAACAGAGAUUAGUGGAGCUGAUGGAGAAGUCGAGGCAGGACUAUCGUCUUGUGUCUGGUAUUGUGCGUAAAGUCACAACAGGUCUGCCAGACCAGCUGUUGGGAAAGGGAAGCCUAAUAUAGCAAGAACAAGGACAAUUAGAACAGGUGGGGAGUACUGGGACCCACAAAGACAAACCCUAACUCUUAAGUGACUCUCACCAACUCCCAACCCAGUGCUAUGAGAGGUUUUCAGGAGAAGCUGCGGUCCUUUGGAGCUGGACACGCAGGACUCAGUGAAGCUGAUUCAGGAGAUCUUGUCAGAACCGUUUCAAUCAACCUUCUAUCUAAAUGCUCAGUAAAAAAAUUAAAAUGUUAGCUUUAAUUCACGUCUUCUUUUUGUCUAAACAUAUUCUUCUUCAAGUCCUGUUAUUACUGCUACAAUGGAAUGUGAAGCUGCCCAUUUCUCUCCAGAUAAGCAAUUACUAUCUGGUUCCAAGUUGUGAGCAUGUUUCAACCAUGAACGUAACUUUCAUAGUCCCAGUUUUGAGCCAUCCCACCUCAAAAACAUAGACUCCACACAGUGGCCUUGCCCUAGCCCCAAAUUCAUCAAUGAUUUUCCUUGACAUAGUGAAAUCUGAAGUCCUUCCCUGAGCUCCAAAUCUCAACGCCACUCCCUUAAUCUAAAAAUGUAUCCAUUCAGCCUCACCCCCUUCCACUUUUUUUGACUUUAUUUCACCCCUGCCACCUUAGCUUCCUUUAUAUUUUGAAAUAAUUCUGUGUUCUUUAUCAUCAUAACUCAGUUGUUUUACCUUAAGCCAGCAGCUCUUCUGUCUGCAUGAUUCUUUAUCUUUCAAGUUUCAUUUCAAUAUAAUCUGCUUGCAAAUUAAUUUUCUAAUUACCAUGUUUUUGGUAAACAUUCCCCAUCUCUUAUUCUUCUACACACAGACACAUACACAUACACUUACUCCCUUCUCUAUCUUCUUCCUCGGCCUUAUAAUAAUGUAACUUAUGUUUUCAUAAACAAACCUUAAAAACAGAACCUGACAGAAAACAGUCAAUAUAUAUUUGUAGAAAGACAAAAUUAUCGCUUUUAUUUGUAUUCAUUUUAUUAAUUAUAAUGCUUUAAGUCAUUUCACAUAUUCAUUUGCAGUUGGUAAGUCUUCUGUAUGUUGACAGCUGAAUUAGCCCAUUUGUUUCUUUCUUGUGUUCUUUGUUUUCUUUAAAGUGCCUUACUUAUUUGUGAAGGCUAAGAAUACCUUAAAAUAUUUAUCUUUAGGCCGGGUGCGAUGGCUCACGUCUGUAAUCCCAGCACUUUGGGAGGCCGAGACGGGUGGAUCACUUGAAGUCAGGAGUUCGAGAACAGCCUGGCCAACAUGGUGAAACCCCAUCUCUACUAAAAAUACAAAAAUUAGCCUGCCAUGGUGGUGGAUGCCUGUAUUCUCAGCUACUCGGGAGGCAGGAGAAUCGCUUGAACCUGAGAGGCGGAGGUUGCAGUGAGCCAAGAUCUCACCACUGCACUGCAGCCUGGGCCAAACAGCCAGACUCCGUCUCAAAAAAAAAAAAAAAAAAUUAUCUUUAAUCUCUCAAACAUGUAACAUAUUUUUCAUCAUUUAAAAAUAUUUUACAGUUUUGUCAUAGAUAUUUUACAUCUUCUAAAUCAAAUUUAUCUUAUACUUUGACUUUUCUGACAUAUUUCCUAUGAAGUUAUUUUUCACCACAGUAAUAUAAAGACCUUGACUAAAAUUAUCUAGUCAUCACACAAUUUUAUAAUUUAAAUUUGUAUCAUUAACACGUGUGAUAUAUUUUGCUAUAUGAUAUGUGAUGGAGCGCCAGCAUUUUUUAAAUUUAUCUAUAUUUGUUGCCAAUGAUCUAAAUAAAUUUUUUGUUUUAUUGAUCUGUCUUAUGUGAGAAUCUUAAAGUUUUAGUAAGUAUAUCUUCAAAUUCAUCUCCGGCAUCUUACACUUUUUUCCAGAACUUUCCCGAUUACUAUCAUAUAUACUCUUCCAAAUGAAAUUAAAACAAUUUGAAAUAACUUUAGAAGUGUAUAAUUAUGUUUCUAAGUAUUGAUGAAUUACUUAGAUAUUUGUUUCUGUCUUUUUGUUGUUGUUUGCUAUGGUUU